UCUCACUUUGAAAACACAUGGCUGUAACUUCACUAUUGCUGAGGCUGCAUUAAAAAACUGGACCAGGUACCCUACACAGGCAAGCUACAUCACCUCAGCCCAGCAGAACAAAGCCCUGGACAGACCUUGGCUGGCUGAUAAUUGGUACUCCCUCUUACCUGUAUUUCUGCCCUGUGGGGACCUUAGUUGUCAUAGUUGUGGGGCUGGCAGUAAGUUUGCUUUCAGGGGGUAGACCUCUAAAACUGCAACCAGGGCUGACAGUAGUGAAGGAGGAUUUAACCUGCUACAAACUUUACAAAACUCUAAAGCAG